GCCACUGGAGGGGAAAGACGAGGUGCUUUCGAAUGCCAAGAGGGUCUCAGAGCUCCUCAGCCCUCCCCCGACUCUCCUGUUCAUCUCACCAAUACAUACCUGAUGAAGACAGGGCCAACUGGAUGGAGGAAAAGGAAAACAAAACAAAACAGGUCAAACAACAAAAGAGAGUCACAGACCCCGGGCAACAGAGCAGCUUCACCAAUCUGCCCAGCAGCUGGGCAGCUCCGGCGGGGUACUUUGGCCCCGGACCUCACCGGGAGGAAUCUGCAGCCUCUCCCAGUGCCCAAGCCGCCUCCUCCUCCUCCUGACAAGACACCUCGUCUGCACAGACGUGAUUCCCCCCCAGCGAAGACACCAGGCCUCCCCUGCGUGCGUGCGUGUGUGUGUGUGUGUGUGCCUGGUUGGGGCGGGCAGAUGCCCUCGGGUCACCGGAACGACGGGCCCCGCUCCCCCAUCACUAAGCGGAGCCUCGCCGCCGCACCCCCCCCCGCGCCCCCGACUCGGAUCCUCACCAAUACAGGUGGCCGCACACGCUGACCACA